rnacentral:rRNA from 1 species
UACGGGGGAGCAAGCGUUGUUCGGAUUACUGGGCGUAAAGGGCGCGUAGGCGGUCGUGACAAGUCACUUGUGAAAUCUCCGGGCUUAACUCGGAACGGUCAAGUGAUACUGUCGGACUAGAGUACAGAAGGGCAACUGGAAUCUCGGUGUAGCGGUGAAUGCGUAGAUAUCGAGAGGAACACCUGCGGCGAAGGCGGUGCUGGGCUGAUGACUGACGCUGAGGCGCGAAGCCAGGGAGCGAACGGG